rnacentral:rRNA from 1 species
AUUGAACGCUGGCGGCAGGCCUAACACAUGCAAGUCGAGCGGAUGAAGGGAGCUUGCUCCUGGAUUCAGCGGCGGACGGGUGAGUAAUGCCUAGGAAUCUGCCUGGUAGUGGGGGAUAACGUCCGGAAACGGGCGCUAAUACCGCAUACGUCCUGAGGGAGAAAGUGGGGGAUCUUCGGACCUCACGCUAUCAGAUGAGCCUAGGUCGGAUUAGCUAGUUGGUGGGGUAAAGGCCUACCAAGGCGACGAUCCGUAACUGGUCUGAGAGGAUGAUCAGUCAACCGGGACAGGAACAAGGGCCCAAAACCAAACGGGAGGCAGAGGGGGGAAUAUUGGACAAAGGGGCAAAGCCGUGUCCAAGCAUGUCGGGUGUGGUGAAAAGGGCUUUUGGUUGGAAAAGCAUUUUAAGUUGGGGGAAGGGGAGGUAAGUUAAACCCUGGCUUUUUGACGGUAACCAAAAAAAAAAGCACGGCUAAAUUGGGG